CGCUUGCCAUAUUCUUCUUUUCUCAAAAUCCUAAUGGAUUGUUGAUUUCCCCACCCUAUAAUCGCGAUUUGAGUGAGGAAUUGAGAGAUGCCAGUGCUGUCUCCUCUAACCACGGGUCUCCGAAACCGACAACACCUUGUCACACCGCCCUUCUUCGUCAGCACAUAUUUCCGCCAAAAGUCGAUAGGGAAGGAGAUCUAAAAACAAUAAUCUGGUAUGCGCGUGAACAGUGGUUUCAAGAUGGUUAAAAAUACUGCAUGGAGAUGUCUUGAUAAAAUUGGAGUUUUAAUACCAAGAGAAUUCUUAGUACUAGAAAUUGUAAAUCUACUGUGAAUUCUCAGUACAGUUAAUUUAAAUUGCAAUGCAUGCAGAAGCAGAUUAUAUUGAGCUUCAAAAA